rnacentral:tRNA from 1 species
GCCUUCGUGUUGUAACGGUAGCACACUCGGCGCGUAUUCGAGAGAUCCAGGUUCGAAUCCUGGCGAGUACU